rnacentral:lncRNA from 10 species
GCCCCCCAGGGCUGUGCCCUCCCUCCCUGAGAGCACCUUGCCAGCAUCCCCACCAACACCCAGGACCACCCUGGUCCACGUUUGCCAGUUUGGAAGACAGGGUAUUUGAGGAGAAUUGAAUAAAUGGAAAAUACGUGAAUUAAAGGAGAGCUGUGCAGUACCCAGGGCCAGCAACAAAGGGGAGCUGUUACCCCCUGAGACCUGGAGGGCAGCUGGAGCCACAGGAGAGGCCGUCUCCAGGAGCCCUGACCUUGGAGAGGGACACAGCGACCCGGCAGGGAGGAGCUGCUGCUGUACACUGACCUCACCCCUCCUGACCGCUUGGCUUGUCUACCGGCUACGCAUUGGCUGAACUAGGUGGAGGCCAGGGAGCAACGAGGCCCCAUGGAUCCUGUACCUACAGUCAGCUUCCCGGGGCACAGAGCAGGGGCUGGCAUGGGGCAAUGGGAAGAUGUCCAGCACCUGUUUUGAAGUGUGAAUAAAAGCAUCGUAGAAAAUGUUGCUGUUUUGCUUUGUUUUGUGGAUGUGUAGCCCAUGCAGAGGCAGCCUAAGAUGGGGCACGACCAGGCUGGGCCCCGCCUCUUG